rnacentral:sRNA from 2 species
UCCGAGAGAUCGCCAGGGCAGAAAUGGGGGAACCACGUUCCUCCGGGCUGGCGCCACGUGGCGCCAGCCCUCGGGGUUAAGUCGGCCAUUCAAGGCGCUUGUUCAACGCGCCCGAAAAUGACCGGCCGGGCUUCCCGGCCCGAACCCGACAGCUAACCUCACAGGCGUGCGGGAAAGAUAUC